UUAUUGCAUGACAUAAGUAUUUGAUCACCUACCAACCAGUAAGAAUUCUGGCUCUCACAGACCUGUUAGUUUUUCUUUAAGAAGCCCUCCUGUUCUCCACUCAUUACCUGUAUUAACUGCACCUGUUUGAACUCGUUACCUUUGGUCUGAUGAGUCCAAAUGUGCGAUUUUUGGUUCCAACUGCCAUGUCUUUUUGAGACGCAGACUAGAUGAACAGAUGAUCUCCUCAUGUGUGGUUCCCACCGUGAAGCAUGGAAGUAGAGGACAAUGACCCAAAACACACCUCCAGGCUGUGUAGGGGCUAUUUGACCUGGCCUUCACAAUCACCCGACCUUCACAAUCACCCAACCUCAACCCAACUGAGAUGGUUUGGGAUGAGUUGGACAGCAGAGUGAAGGAAAAGCAACCAGCAAGUGCUCAGCAUAUGUGGGAAACCCUUCAAGACUGUUGGAAAAGACUGUCGGACAGCAAAGCUGUCAUCAAGGCUACUUUGAAGAAUUUAACAUAUAUUUUGGUUUGUUUAACACUUUUUUUUCCAUUUACUACAUGAUUCCCUAUGUUAUUUCAUAGUUUUGAUGUCUUCACUAUUAUUCUCCAAUGUAGAAAAUAGUAAAAAUAAAGAAAAACCCUUGAAUGA